rnacentral:lncRNA from 1 species
CAAUGUUAAUGUGAAGGUAUAUAUGAAAUUGUAAUAAGUGUAAAAUUAUUCUCAAAAUUAAAUGUUGAAAAACUUCUCUUGCUUUAUUUAUCAAAACUUAUUUUAGGAUGUUGCGAUUUUACUAAAAAUUAUUUUUGAAGAAAUUUACUAAUAAAUAAAAUUAAUUAUUAAUUUUUAAAAAUCAUUUUUAAGCUUUUAAGUAUAAUUCUAAACAGACCUCAAACAUCUCAAAAAAAAAAUGUAAAAAGUUACCUACGCUUCAAUACAUGUUUAAAUGAUGAUAUAAACUUCCACUAACUAAUAAAUGAUCAUUUUAGCUCCAUUUUAAUAAAUAUAUUCUUUGACUAUGACAAUCUAAAAUUGACUUUGAAGAAAAUUCUAUGAUACACAUAAUAACAGUAAAACACAAUUUAAAUGAUUCUAAUUCAUGCACUGAGUGCGCGUUAGAACAGUAAAACACAGUUUAAUUCGGCUACUCCAAUGACUGCAUUUUCAUUUUCAUUCUCAUUCGUUUAAAUAAUUACGUUAUUUGUGGUCACAUCACAUGGGGGACCCGUCAAUGAGACAAUGAAUACACAAGAUUCGUAACGGGGGGUGAAAUCUUCCAAAUGGCAGAGUUUGUGUGGUCUGGGACACACACAAGAUUUUUCUCGUCACCGACUCACCGCAAGUAUGGUCCUCCCGAAUUUUACUCAGCUUGGGGUUUAUGAUGGGACAAGUAUCUCAAAGUUCGUCAUCAGCACUUAGCACAGGUCAAAGUUUGACAUGAUCUUAUUAUUGGAUAUAAAUAAAAGAUGAAUAAAUAUAUAUGAUUCCUCACAUUUAAUAGGAUUAUUAAAUAGAUUGAGUCUAGGUUAAUAUCAUUUUUUCCAUGUCAGAUUAUGAUUAAAAUUUUUGACCCAUUUAUCUUAUAAAUGACACACAUAUAUUUUCUAUCCUAAAUUAAUUUGUAAUUUUUUAUCAUUGAAAUUUAAAUAUUAAACACGAUUCUCUUUUUAUUUUUUUAAUUUAUUUUGUAAGGAUAAACAUAUUCAUAGUGA